GCCCGAGUGGCGGAACCGGUAGACGCAAGGGACUUAAAAUCCCUUGAGCAGUUUGCUCGUGUGGGUUCGAGUCCCACCUCGGGUACCA
rnacentral:tRNA from 1 species